AAAGUGCUCCUGGUGAGGAAGG
rnacentral:miRNA from 1 species